UACGUAGGGGGCAAGCGUUGUCCGGAUUUAUUGGGCGUAAAGAGCGUGUAGGCGGCCAGGUAGGUCCGUUGUGAAAACUCGAGGCUCAACCUCGAGACGCCGAUGGAAACCAUCUGGCUAGAGUCCGGAAGAGGAGAGUGGAAUUCCCGGUGUAGCGGUGAAAUGCGCAGAUAUCUGGAGGAACACCGGUGGCGAAGGCGGCAUCCUGGACCGGAAUUGACGCUGAGGAGCGAAAGCCAGGGGAGCAAACGGG
rnacentral:rRNA from 1 species